rnacentral:rRNA from 1 species
UACGUAGGGUGCGAGCGUUAAUCGGAAUUACUGGGCGUAAAGCGUGCGCAGGCGGUUUGUUAAGUCAGAUGUGAAAGCCCCGGGCUUAACCUGGGAACGGCAUUUGAAACUGGCAGGCUGGAGUACGGCAGAGGGGGGUGGAAUUCCACGUGUAGCAGUGAAAUGCGUAGAGAUGUGGAGGAACACCGAUGGCGAAGGCAGCCCCCUGGGCCGUAACUGACGCUGAGGAGCGAAAGCGUGGGGAGCGAACAGG